AUGAGGUUGUUCAAUGGUAAACAACAUGCUAUGGAUUCUAUUUAUGGUAACUGGCAGGAAAGUUUUCAAUUGUUGUAUUCAUUCAAAAGUGAAGUGGAGAGGACAAGCCCAGGUAGUAUUGUAGAUAUUGAUCACCACACCGUGGCGUACACGUUCAGGGGAGUGACAAAGACCAAGGAAUGCUUUAGGAGGGUUUUUGUCUGUUUUGAGGCUUGUCGUCGGGGUUUUUUGGCAGGCUGCGGGCCUUAUUUGGCUAUUGAUGCCACUUUUAUCACAGGGGGGUUUAAAGGACAGUUAGUAGCAGCUUGUGCAGUUGAUGCACACAGUUUUGUAUUUCCAGUUGCCUACGGUGUGCUGGAGACAGAGUCUGAGGAGAGCUGGACUUGGUUUUUGCAUAAUCUGCGCCGGGCUAUUGCACAUCCCAAUGGGUUGGUCAUUCAUACAGAUGCCUGCAAAGGUUUAGAAGUGGUCGUGGACAAUGUGUUCCCUGGAGUAGAGCAUAGGGAAUGCAUGCGUCACCUUGCUGCAAAUUUCAUGAAGAAAUUCAAAGGAAAGGUGUAUACCGACAAUUUAUGGCCAGCAUCUUUGACUUGCAGUGUGAAGAAGCACAACUACCACUUGAGGCAGUUAUACAUGAAUCCCAAAGUGAAAGAAUACUUGGAAACACACCACUCCAAGUUAUGGGCCAGAAGCCAAUUCAGUGAAGUGAGCAAAGUUGACUAUGUGCACAAUAAUCUAGCAGAGUCUUUCAACUCAACGAUCCGGAAACUAAAG
rnacentral:rRNA from 1 species